rnacentral:rRNA from 1 species
GACGGAGGGGGCAAGCGUUGUCCGGACUCACUGGGCGUAAAGGGUGCGUAGGCGGUUGUGUGCGUCGGCGCUGAAAUCACGGGGCUUAACUCCGUGGCGCGUGCCGAUACGACACGACUUGAGGCUCUGAGAGGGUGGCGGAACUCCUGGUGUAGUGGUGAAAUGCGUAGAGAUCAGGAAGAACACCCGUGGCGCAAGCGGCCACCUGGCAGAGUACUGACGCUGAGGCACGAAAGCGUGGGGAGCGAACCGG